rnacentral:rRNA from 1 species
UGGGGAAUAUUGGACAAUGGGCGAAAGCCUGAUCCAGCAAUGCCGCGUGAGUGAUGAAGGCCCUAGGGUUGUAAAGCUCUUUUACCCGGGAUGAUAAUGACAGUACCGGGAGAAUAAGCUCCGGCUAACUCCGUGACAGCAGCCGCGGUAAUACGGAGGGAGCUAGCGUUGUUCGGAAUUACUGGGCGUAAAGCGCGCGUAGGCGGCUUUGUAAGUCAGAGGUGAAAGCCCGGGGCUCAACCCCGGAAUUGCCUUUGAAACUGGAAAGCUAGAAGCUUGGAGAGGUCAGUGGAAUUCCGAGUGUAGAGGUGAAAUUCGUAGAUAUUCGGAAGAACACCAGUGGCGAAGGCGACUGACUGGACAAGUAUUGACGCUGAGGUGCGAAAGCGUGGGGAGCAAACAG